rnacentral:lncRNA from 1 species
AUGACCCAAAAAGGGGGCACGUGCGCAGUGGUCAGAAGCAACUGCUGCAUCUUUGUCCUUGGCAAUCUACAUGAAAUCUCUGCCUUAACCAGGAAGGUUCGAGACAUGAAUGAAGAGUGCUCUUUUCUGGACUUCCCUGGUAAUGCGAUGGAUAAGAAUCCGCCUGCAAAUGCAGGGGACAUGGGUUCAAUACCUGGUCCAGAAGGAUUCCACAUGCUGCUGAGAAAUGGAGUAUUUCCUGCCAUUAUCAGUAAAUAAGGAUGUCCCAGCCAUCAGCGACUCUGUCCCUCCAAAUGUUAAUUUCUGAGCUACAAGGGCACCCAGGAAGAACAGUACCUAUAAUCUGGCAGCCCUUAGGCUGCAGUCACUCCCAGUGGUGAGCCUUGAGGAACUAAGGAUAUUGACCCCAGAUAGCUGAGAUGCAAUGGAGAAGGCAAUGGCACCCCACACCAGCACUCUUGCCCGGAAAAUCCCAUAGACGGAGGAGCCUGGUGGGCCGCAGUCCAUGGGGUCGCUAAGAGUCGGACAUGACUGAGUGACUUCACUUUCACUUUUCACUUUCAUGCAUUGGAGAAGGAAAUGGCAACCCACUCCAGUGUUCUUGCCUGGAGAAUCCCAGGGACGGGGAGCCUGGUGGGCUGCCGCCUAUGGGUCGCACAGAG